rnacentral:rRNA from 1 species
GAUGAACGCUGGCGGCGUGCCUAAUACAUGCCAGUCGAGCGAACAGACGAGGAGCUUGCUCCUCUGACGUGAGCGGCGGACGGGUGAGGAACAGGUGGAUAACCUACCUAUAAGACUGGGAUAAGUUCGGGAAACCGGAGCUAAUACCGGAUAAUAUAUUGAACCGCAUGGUUCAAUAGUGAAAGACGGAUUUGCUGUCACUAAUAGAUGGAUCCGCGCCGCAUUAGCUAGUUGGUAAGGUAACGGCUUACCAAGGCAACGAUGCGUAGCCGACCUGAGAGGAUGAUCGGCCACACUGGAACUGAGACACGGUCCAGACUCCUACGGGAGGCAGCAGUAGGGAAUCUUCCGCAAUGGGCGAAAGCCUGACGGAGCAACGCCGCGUGAGUGAUGAAGGUCUUCGGAUCGUAAAACUCUGUUAUUAGGGAAGAACAAAUGUGUAAGUAACUAUGCACGUCUUGACGGUACCUACUCAGAAAGCCACGGCUAACUACGUG